GUGACCUCAAAUCAGGUAGGACUACCCGCUGAACUUAAGCAUAUCAAUAAGCGGAGGAAAAGAAACUAACAAGGAUUCCCCUAGUAACUGCGAGUGAAGCGGGAAAAGCUCAAAUUAAAAUCUGGCA
rnacentral:rRNA from 1 species